CGUGUCUCUCUCCGCUGAUAUCUGCAAAAUAAUAAUCAAAAGAGACAAUGGGGAAUCUGUUCUGCUGUGUACAAGUUGACCAAUCCACAGUAGCUAUUAAGGAGAGAUUUGGCAAGUUUGAUGAUGUGCUUGAGCCUGGAUGUCAUUUCUUGCCAUGGUGUAUUGGGAGCCAGGUAGCUGGUUACCUAACUUUAAGGCUGCAGCAGCUUGAUGUACGCUGUGAAACCAAGUCAAAGGACAAUGUAUUUUUAACUGUUGUUGCUUCUAUACAAUACCGUGCUCUGGCUGAUAAAGCUACUGAUGCUUUUUACAAGCUUAGUAAUACUCGAUCCCAGAUCCAAGCCUAUGUGUUCGAUGUAAUCAGGGCGAGUGUUCCAAAGCUAAAUCUGGAUGAUGUGUUUGAGCAGAAGAAUCAAAUUGCUAAAGCAGUGGAGGAUGAACUUGAAAAGGCAAUGUCUGCUUACGGGUAUGAGAUUGUUCAGACACUUAUAGUUGAUAUAGAGCCAGAUGAACAUGUUAAGCGAGCUAUGAAUGAAAUCAACGCAGCUGCAAGGUUGAGAGUAGCCGCCAAUGAGAAAGCAGAAGCUGACAAAAUUGUCCAGAUAAAACGAGCUGAAGGUGAUGCUGAGGCAAAGUACCUGGCAGGACUAGGGGUUGCUAGACAACGCCAGGCCAUUGUUGAUGGUUUAAGGGACAGUGUUCUUGGAUUUUCGGUGAAUGUACCUGGAACUACUGCCAAGGACGUCGUGGACAUGGUCCUCAUUACUCAGUAUUUUGACACCAUGAAGGAAAUUGGUGCCAGCUCCAAAUCCUCAGCAGUCUUUAUCCCACAUGGACCUGGUGCUGUGAGUGACAUUGCAGGGCAGAUUCGACAAGGAUUACUCCAGGGUUCAGCUG
rnacentral:misc_RNA from 1 species